AGCGCGGNGGUCCCACCUGACCCCAUGCCGAACUCAGAAGUGAAACGCCGUAGCGCCGAUGGUAGUGUGGGGUCUCCCCAUGCGAGAGUAGGGA
rnacentral:rRNA from 1 species